UCAGACGUGGUGUAAUUGGAACGCGGCCUCUGCUUUUAAUUCCAUAUGUGGCUCUAGAAUCAGAGGCAGUCCAGGGUUCGAAUCCUUGUGUCUGAG